rnacentral:rRNA from 1 species
UACAUAGGGUGCAAGCGUUGUCCGGAAUUAUUGGGCGUAAAGAGCUCGUAGGCGGUUCGUUACGUCGGAUGUGAAAAUCUGGGGCUCAACCCCAGACCUGCAUUCGAUACGGGCGAUCUAGAGUGUGGUAGGGGAGACUGGAAUUCCUGGUGUAGCGGUGGAAUGCGCAGAUAUCAGGAGGAACACCAAUGGCGAAGGCAGGUCUCUGGGCCAUUACUGACACUGAGGAGCGAAAGCGUGGGGAGCGAACAGG